CGCAGUGUAGCUUAAUGCAAAGCCCCAAGCUCAUACCUUGGCUGAUGCGGGUGCAAAUCCCGCCGCUGCUA
rfam:Hassallia byssoidea VB512170 scaffold_10, whole genome shotgun sequence.